rnacentral:tRNA from 1 species
UCCCGAGUAGCUCAGCUGGUAAAGAGUCCGCCUGUAGUGCAGGAGACCCUGGUUCAACUCCUGGCUCUGGAA